CACUUCUUGGAGGCCUCAAAAGAACAAAACCGGAACACUUCUGGAGGUGGGUUCGUUCGUGCCCGAAGCUUUCCCGGCGUCUCACCCUUCUCUCCGGCGCCUCCCACUCCGGCUGACUCUCCGGCGACUCCCCACUCCGCCGACUCUCCGGCGCCUUCCCACUCGGCUGACUCUCCGGCGCCGACAGGUGGUGCUCCUUCACCGGCUGAAGCUUCCGAAUCCAGGAAGAACAAGAGGAUCUCGAAGGGGAAGAAGGGUGGGAAGAAGAAGGCGUGAGUGCUCAAUUCCGCCUCGACUUUGUGGAAAUCGAUUCCUGUUUUGGGGUGCUGGUUCUGCUGUAGUUUGAUCUUUUUUCUUGUCUGGUCUGGGGGAACAUGCAUUGGAUUAUGAUGUGAUAGACAAAUUGUUGUAAUCACGGAUGAAAUUGCAUUGCCUUUCUCCAUGUCUAGUUGUACCAAUGUUCUAAGAGCUUGGAGUUAGUUUUGCUACAUAGUGAAGAGUCGGGUUCACCACUUCGUCUUCUGUUUGUCUCCCCCUUGAUAUAUCGAAAGCAUGCAGAAUUUCUGCUGGUGCAUAUAGGAAAGAGGACAUAGAGUUUUCUAUCUGCUAUAACCUUGGCUGCUUAGUGCUUGGAUGUUCUGCAAAUUACACAUCUGAAAAGAGCAUCUAAUGGCAGGUGGUAUCUGAUGAUUGGCACGUAAUCUGUUGGAGCAUGUUCAUUUGCAUGUCGAGGGAAGCAAGAUUGAUCUAUUCAGUAUGAACUGGUUAUGGGGGAUGCCGCCAGUUCUGGAUUCUUGUGCAAGUUGAUGAGUGUUGUCUGAUGCGGCAUAGAUUUAGUUCAUUUAUUGGUCUUGUGAAGUGGAUUGAUCUGUAAAGGAGCACAUUAGAUGAAAUCAAUACUUGACAGUGGAGCUGAAAGUGUUAAGGGUUAACAGUGCACGUCUGUCUGUCAUAUCUUAUGCUAUAAGAAGUUGGAAAAAGGGUAAAGAUGGCUAUGUAUGAUGUUGAAGAAUUACAAGUUACUAGAAUGAUUUGUAGAUAAUUCAUUAAGGCUAAAAUUCAAUAGGCAGUGCAGAACCUUACGUGUAGUUUUGAUGAUACAUCAAAACCAUGCCAAAGUGGCGAGUCAAUUGUCUUUUGGUGCUUGCCAUGCACAAAUACUGAAACGGCCCAUGCCUGCAUAGGGAGUUCACUCAUUCCAGUCAUGCUUAUGGAUUAUGGCAUCUUCUUUCUCAUAUCAAUUUUCUAUUCAUUAUUACAGCCUUUAAAUCCUUUUUUUUUCGGGGGUGAGUCUAGGUAGAUCGAGGUGUUACUCUGAGUGAGGCUUUCUUAGUCAUGACAAAUGGCUUGAAAAGAAGGGCAUAAAGAACACAAAUUUCGCUGUUGUUACCUGGUCCAACUGGGAUUGCCGGGUGAUGUUGGAAUCCGAGUGUCGAUAUAAGAAAAUUCGAAAGCCUUCUUACUUCAACAGAUGGAUUAACCUAAAAGUCCCAUUCCAGGAAGUUUUCAAAGGUCUAAGAUAGGGGUGUAAACGGGUCGGGUCG